AUACAGAGGUCCCAAGCGUUGUUCGGAUUCACUGGGCGUAAAGGGUGCGUAGGUGGUGAGGUAAGUCGGAUGUGAAAGCUCCGAGCUCAACUCGGAAAUGGCAUUGGAAACUACCUUGCUGGAGGGUUUGAGGGGGGACUGGAAUACUUGGUGUAGCAGUGAAAUGCGUAGAUAUCAAGUAGAACACCAGUGGCGAAGGCGAGUCCCUGGAAAACACCUGACACUGAGGCACGAAAGCUAGGGGAGCAAACAGGA
rnacentral:rRNA from 1 species